CUCUUAAGCAUGCCGGACAGUGGAUGUAGAAAAGAGGGAGGGGUGAGGAAUGAGAGAGAGAGAAGAGGAGUGGAAAUGAGGGGGUGGUUUGAGCUUCAUCAGAAGUUGAGCUGGAAGAGGAAGCCGCCAAUGUGGGGAAAUAAACAGAGUCUGAAGUGGCUUAACCAGCCUUCAGCGUGGGAACCACAUAUAACUGAUGGCAGAGUGUGGAGGAUAGCUGUGUGCUGGUUCUGAAUGAUACCUUUGGGCUAAAGCGGGAAACUGUGGACAUAUCUCUCCAUCUGCUUCCCUGUGACAUCAAAGGAAAAGCCUUGGAUUCUACGGCCUAUAUAUAAAACCUGCAGGAAGACGUGUUAUUCUGGCUCUCUUCCUGUAACCUAAGGCUGAUCUUGAGCACUCUUUUUCUCAUUCUCUCUCACUUUGUGUUGCUUUAUUAUCUCUGGUCUCUGCUGAAGUGGACCCUCUGAUGACUAAAUGCAGUCAUUUUUGUGGUCCUGUGGGCCUUUCAUGUUAUUUAGACAUGGGAUGGUCCUAUGGACUUUUACAGGACAUCUAGAAGUUAAAGGGAAAGCUCACCUAAAAAUGAAAUCUAUGUCGUCAUUUAUUCACCCUUAUUUAAGAAAGUUCGGUUUGAUAUGACAUGGGUAAACAAUGACACAAUACUCACUUUUAGCUGAAUGGUUCUUUGAAUUUUAACCUCAACAAACUAAAUUUCCAGAAAUAUUGCAAACAGAUGCAAUCUGUUUCUAAAUUAACUUCUGCUUCCACCCACACAGGACCACAAGUUAAUUAGAUCACACUGUUUGCCAUUCUUUAGCGGUAUAUGAAACCACUUGUUUGCUAAUGACCUAGACCAGUGAUGGGCAAACUUGGCCCUUCCAGGCCACUUUCCUGCAGAGAUUUGAUCCAACCCUGAUAUAACUCACCUGCCUGUAGCCUUCUAGUAGUCUUGAAGACAAUGAUUAGUUGGUUCAGGUGUGUUUGAUUAGGGUUGGAGCUAACCUCUGAAGGAAAGUGGCCUGGAAGUGCCAAGUUUGCCCACCCCUGACCUAGACAAAUAGAGGAAUAUCUUUGACGGGGUGUUAAAGAGUUCCAAGCUCAUGACAGUUAGAAAGUGUGGGUUGUGUUUGUGAGAGCACAGGUGAUGGACCAUCACUGACGUGACACUACUAGAGCGUAAUUUGGUCGGUUCCAAUUAGCUUAGCAUGCCAUGCUCUACUGAAUACUGACAGUCCACUUCGCUUGCUUUAUUGACACCGUGGCCUUUGCUUUCAUCAGUGUUUGUGAGAGCUAUUUGGAGGUAUAGAUUGGACCUCACUAGAAUGUGUUUCCUACUGAUGCGUUCAAAAUUCAAUAGGAAGGUUAUGACAAUAAGCUCUGUUAAUGUUUUAAAUUUUACCUUCAUGUUUUUCAUUAGCAGCUGUUGUCUAACUUAAUUGCCUUAAAAGUGUUUAUGAAGGUCAAAAUUCCAAAUAAAUUUUUUUUUUUUUGGGACACACACACACACAAUAAUAUGUGUCUAAUUAAUUGUCUUUUCCAGAGUUUCAGAAGAGAUCUCAGUGUCUCACAUUGUGCUCAGAUACAACUUAAUUGCCUUAAAAGUGUUUAUGAAGGUCAAAAUUCCAAAUAAAUUUUUUUUUUUUGGGACACACACACACACAAUAAUAUGUGUCUAAUUAAUUGUCUUUUCCAGAGUUUCAGAAGAGAUCUCAGUGUCUCACAUUGUGCUCAGAUACAACUUAAUUG
rnacentral:lncRNA from 1 species